rnacentral:rRNA from 1 species
UACGUAGGGUCCGAGCGUUGUCCGGAAUUACUGGGCGUAAAGGGCUCGUAGGCGGUCCGUCACGUCGGGAGUGAAAACUCGGAGCUCAACUCCGAGCCUGCUUCCGAUACGGGCAGACUAGAGGUAGGCAGGGGAGAGCGGAACUCCUGGUGUAGCGGUGGAAUGCGCAGAUAUCAGGAAGAACACCGGUGGCGAAGGCGGCUCUCUGGGACGGUACUGACGCUGAGACGCGAAAGCGUGGGGAGCGAACAGG